UACAGAGGUGGCAAGCGUUGUUCGGAAUUACUGGGCGUAAAGGGCGCGUAGGCGGCCCGUCAAGUCCCGUGUGAAAGCCCCCGGCUCAACCGGGGAACGGCGCGGGAAACUAGCAGGCUUGAGUUCGGGAGAGGGAAGCGGAAUUCCGGGUGUAGCGGUGAAAUGCGCAGAUAUCAGGAGGAACACCGGUGGCGAAGGCGGGUCUCUGGGCCGAGACUGACGCUGAGGAGCGAAAGCGUGGGGAGCGAACAGG
rnacentral:rRNA from 1 species